GUGAAAAGGGAGAGAGAGAGGCACAGAGCAAGCUGCUGUAGGCUAUAGGGAGCGGAGGCCGUGCAGGGUGUGUGUGAGCCUUGGAACAGCAGAGCAGGCACUGAGAGACAGCAGGCAUAGAGAAAGAGACCGCAAACCCUGUUAACUCGCGCUAGACUAACUUCUUGCUAGUUAUUUAUCAUCCCAUCCGAUUAUAUAGUACCUGUCUUUACUGCAUCGACCUGAGAGAAGUUAGCUAACUAGGCUAAUUCUAAAGUUAGCCUACACAUAAUGACUGUGUUCAGAUCAUAGCCUAAAUAGCAUUCUUUGCAUUAGCAGCUUGUAUGCAUGGAAGCCUGGAGAUGCUAAACAUGUUUAUGUUACUUAACGGUCAAUUACCGUGAAACUGGCAAUUACUCAAUCACAAAAUACAGAGGGUGUAAAUCAGAGAUUACUUGCUAUAUACCAACUUUACCAAGCAAAUGAUAAAUUGUGUCAUCUUAGAAGUAUAUUAAGAAAUGCCUUUGGUUUUUGUAUUUGCAGGCCAUCCGCUAUGACAACCAUGCCUGUACUGCCUGUGUCAGAUGCUGAGGAAUUAGGUGGAGUGUCCACUGGGGAAGCAACUAAAGUUUGCCCAAACAAAGAGAUCUGGCACACGCCUUUUGAAUCAUGAUGUCCGAGAACUUGAACUGUGAAUUCCAGUUAAUUUCCAAUUAAAUUGAGGGCUAUGGGCUGCAGGAAUACCACAAGAACUCCCAGGCAGAACUACUAGCCAGAAAGGAAGCCAUCCAAACCAACCUUAAUCACCUGGACCACCCUGUCCUAGACAGUGAUGUCGCCACAAUGUGUGUGAAAUUUGAAAGGUUUGCCCUAUUUACAGUACAACUGCUUUUCCUCAUCACUCUUUUUGGGGAUGCCGGUUGUCACUUGGGGGACAUUCAGACCAGUUUGUAAACAUUUGUUUAGGUUCCAUAUGAUUUCAAUUACUUUCUGACUACACCGCUUUUGAUUUUAACAAAACAUUUCAUACAUCCUUUCCCAUGGUGGAAGUGGUCAGAAAGUUACUUUUUGGAAAAUAUUCAGGAGAUGGAGGUGCUCAAAGUUGACCCAUUUUGCAUACCCUACCAUAAGAAUAUAAACAGUUGAGUUUGAUGUCAUUUAAAAGCUUACAAACUGUCACGACUUCUGCCGAAGUCGUUGCCUCUCCUUGUUCGGGCGGUGCUCGGCGUUCGACGGCACCGGUCUUCUAGCCAUCAUUGAUCCAUUUUCAUUUUCCAUUGGUUUUGUCUUGUCUUCCCACACACCUGUUUUCAAUCCCAUUCAUUACCUGUUGUGUAUUUAACCCUCUGUUUCCCCUCAUGUCUUUGUCAGAGAUUGUUUAUUGUCAGUGUAGUGUUUUUGUUGUAUAGG
ensembl:lncRNA